AUUUAGAGCUGUUUUCGGUUGUUUUUUAGCUAGAAAAUCUUUUCCUCGCACUUUACUUGCUUUACGAUGUGGAGGAAAAGUGCCGUUUUGUUCCGUUUGUUGAUGCAAGAAUUCACUAUCAAGAAAGAUUAACUAUUCUUUCAGGUAAGAUUCAUGAAACUAUUUUUACUUUGUAGAACCUUGCUAGAUAUAAAAUGACUCUCGAAAUGAGUCAAAUGACUAUAUUAGUAUAACUAUAUAAGUCAAAAACUCAUGCUACUAUAUAUAUACAGAAAAUAUUUCAGUAGCAGACACAUUAAAGAGCCUCUGCAACCGGGUACGGACACAUAAAUCCUGUUUAUAAUCGUUGAAAAUUGUGGACAUGAAAUUAUGUUGUUUUGUGUUUUUUAUUGCCAGUUUUUAAUAUAAAUUUAUAAUUGUGGUUGUUCACCUGCUCACAUGAUCGUACAGAUUAUAUAUGGUGUGAAUCAGGAUUAAUAUAUAGAUAAGCACAAAGACAGAGAGUGUGAGACAGAGGGAACAAAAUACCCAGGACCUGGGAGUGUUCAAAGCAGUGUGCAAAAGUUGGAUAAGCGUGAUUGCUUGCCUAUGUGCUUAAUUUAUAGAGAGAUAUGGUAUAACUGAAACUUUCUUUUGAGCUAAAUUUAACAAUCUCUCUCAAUAGGGUAACAGCAAGUGAUAGUCCAGAAACCGCACAGACUUCAUGUCCCGUGAACAAGGCUGCAUAUUGCAUAUUCCCCCACAAUGAGCGAGUCGCACUGAGCUUGGACAAGCAAGUCCUACUUUUGCCAGGCUUUUUGUAGCAGUGUUUAUAUAUGGGGUUGUAGGGCAGUGGUGGCCACUUAUUGGGGGGGGGGGGGGGGUGAUUUAGGUUGCCACCAUACGACCGUGCACUUUAGAUUGUUGGAUAUCAUAGUUCUUUAAGCUUUUUUGCCUUAACCCAUGGAGCACCAGUGUGCUCUCCCCUUGACAAGUAAAAUUGUCUGGCAUUAGACAGAUCGAGUAAAAUAAUCUGGUGUUAGACAGAGUAAGAUUAACUAAAGUUGGGCACAUUGGGUAUGCAGAUAGUUUGAUUUAUAUUCCAUUGAGUGCCAUAAGCACUCUCCCCUUGAUGAGUAAAAUAGUCAUGCAUAACCAUGCAGAAGAUUUAAUCCACUGAGUGGCAGUGCUCUCCACUAAAGUACAUUAGGGUGCAUUGCCACUUAAAGGGUUAACAUAUAUGUAAUACUUAUUUAUAUUUUUGUUAAUUACUAAAGAUGUGUAAUAACAUGAAUAAUGUUAUCUUUUUCUGCAGGAUUUAUCUGACAUGUUUAAUACAGGUACCAGAAGAGAUGGCACAGGAUGCCAAAAUGGAGAAGAACAAAUUGAAGUUAUGAUAAUAAUUAGUCACUUACCAAUUACUGUAGUCAAGUAUAAUUAUGGUGCAACUCUUUUAUUGACAAUAAAGAGUACUACACACAGUGACUUUAAUUUUUUAAUUCACACUACAUUAAAUUUAAAUGUACGUCUUGUGUCUAAAUGUAGUAUGUACAUGUUUGUACAAUUGUACAGCAGGGACUGAGAGAGCAGAAAAGAAAGUUAGUUAUUAUAUUGUAUUAAAAUAUAUUCAAAGCACCAACAACAACCUUUUAUCAGAUUUAUAACAUGAGGCAAUACCCAAGUGUUUUAAUAGAUCUGAUGAAACAUGUACUGUGAG
rnacentral:lncRNA from 1 species